rnacentral:rRNA from 1 species
AGCAUGCUACGGUGAAUACGUUCCCGGGUCUUGUACACACCGCCCGUCACACCACGAGAGUUUGUAACACCCGAAGCCGGUGGAGUAACCAUUUAUGGAGCUAGCCGUCGAAGGUGGGACAAAUGAUUGGGGUGAAGUCGUAACAAGGUAGCCGUAUCGGAAGGUGCGGCUGGAUCACCUCCUUU